UUCUAUCUCUCUGGCGAUAGUCUGCAGUGCUAAGAGUGAUGCUACAUUAAGUGUCUUGCUCAUCUGAUCUUAUUUUUCUCUUUAUUAUCUCACAUUGUCUGCUCAUCUGGUUAAUGCUGUUUGAAAUAAGCCCGAUCCCAGGAGCUAAUUGGCACAGUGACAUGAAGUUUGUGGCUCGCGCAGCAAAAUGUAUGAUUUCAGCAUUUGCAAGAAUAACACAAAUCCCUGCACACAUUUCAUCCUAAAGGCUGCAAAAUCUGCUUGCAGCGCCCUUAUCUCUGUGGAUUAGCGAGUUAUCGGGGAGCUUCACUAUCGUCUGAAUGGAGAUAAGGUGCGGCAAAUCCUUCCCUUCUGCUCCCUGACACACGGUAUCAGCACCGAAUAGGGAGCCUAGGAGCACAGAUAAAUCAACGGCCCUCUGGGACCCUAAGCUAUGUAUGAAUGCAUUAAAGCAAUAUUCAGCUCCCUGCACAAAGGCGGAACAGCGGUUCCUCUAUUGCUCCGUAUGGCUGGCAUUGUACUGGGCGUUAAGCUCUUGGUUGUGAGGAAGAUGCAUGUGAAAUGCAACCUGUUAGCAUCUUACAAGAGCUGCUGUCAAGAGGAGAACGGCUCCAGGCGCCUCAGCACUGCAGGCACCUUCCUUACCGUGCACCGGGUUGCUUCGGAGACCAGUGCUGGUCUUCCAAACAGAACACGCUGGCACAGAAAUGAGACAGCCCAGAUGGCUGCUAACAGCCAGGAGAAGCCCUACUGCUUGUCAGCCUUGUGCUCAGAACCCUUCAGAGCAUGCAACGUGUAUUAAUGAACGCAGUAACUAAUUGGAAAAGCUAAGUGCUGGGAGGAGGCUUCCAGGAGUGAAGCCUCACUCUUCUAUCUGUCAAGCAAAGCUUAGGGCCUGGCUAUGACUUCAGUCACAUUUGGAAACUGUGGGCAACCUAAGGCAGAGGAGCAGGCAGAAACCCUACAACACACAGCAAGGCGCCUGGCAGCCUCUGGGGCCAAUGGAACUACCAGCAGCUUUCCUGCAAGGCAGAAGUUCACCCUCAGCUGGUGGGAGCUGCUCAGCCUAAGUGCACUGUGCUGCAUUUCAAGGCACACUCACAACGCAGUGUCCUACUUAUAACCAACUUUGUGUUUCUUUUACUCCAAGCGUUGUGUGAUCUGCCGUUAUCUCGGUUGCAGCUGCAGGAGAAAGUUUGUCAUAGCCAAUGGAAACAGAUGGCCCCAAACUCUCUACCCUAUCAUAUGUUUCUGUGCACUGUCUGUUAAAAAUCUCAGCCAGACCUCAGGCCUGUGGGUCAUUACUGUCUUCUUUAUAUCCGUAUUCACUUAUUUCUAUCCCCCAAGGACCAGGCUACGGCUGGCUAUGAAUACUGGCUAUGAAUUCCUACUGCCAUCAGAAGUUCAUUUUUUGUGGCCUUCAGGUUUUCUGCUGAGCAGUGCUAUGGCACUCCCCAAAUGCCUCUCGCUGUGUCCUGGCAGGAAAGGUGAAGGU
ensembl:lncRNA